GAGCUAGCUCAGUUGGUAGAGCAUGAGACUCCUAAUCUCAGGGUUCAAACCCUGCAUUGGACA
rnacentral:tRNA from 1 species